UGGAGUUGUCUUUUGUGUGUUGCCUGUGAGGCUGUGAAACUUAGUUUUUUUUUCAAGAGUAGAUUUUUAGUAGUAAUAGGCAUAAAUAUAUCAACAGUAAUAACUUUGUGUAGAUUUUUAGAUGAAAUAGUUUAAUUAGUGAGUAAUUUAUCUUCAGGAUGGACAAGAAAACAAAAUCUUCAGGUAAGCAUUCUCAAUUUUAUGUGUACAGUACAUACACAUACAUGUACAAUGUAUUAUAGUCUUAAAUGAUAUUAAAAUACUAUUUGGUAUCAGUAUU